GAGAAGCUUUAGGGGUGCCCGGGCGGGCUGAGAAUAUACCCUUUGAACCUGAUACGGAUGAUACCGGCGAAGGAAAAAGUCCCACCUGACCA
rnacentral:ncRNA from 2 species